GGGAGGGCGUUUACCACGGUGUGAUUCAUGACUGGGGUGAAGUCGUAACAAGGUAACCCUAGGGGAACCUGGGGUUGGAUCACCUCCUUA
rnacentral:rRNA from 1 species